AACUGAACCUUCGGGGAACGUUAACGGCGUCGAGCGGCGGACGGGUGAGUAAUGCCUGGGAAAUUGCCCUGAUGUGGGGGAUAACCAUUGGAAACGAUGGCUAAUACCGCAUAAUAGCUUCGGCUCAAAGAGGGGGACCUUCGGGCCUCUCGCGUCAGGAUAUGCCCAGGUGGGAUUAGCUAGUUGGUGAGGUAAUGGCUCACCAAGGCGACGAUCCCUAGCUGGUCUGAGAGGAUGAUCAGCCACACUGGAACUGAGACACGGUCCAGACUCCUACGGGAGGCAGCAGUGGGGAAUAUUGCACAAUGGGCGCAAGCCUGAUGCAGCCAUGCCGCGUGUAUGAAGAAGGCCUUCGGGUUGUAAAGUACUUUCAGCAGUGAGGAAGGUGGGUAUGUUAAUAGCAUACUCAUUUGACGUUAGCUGCAGAAGAAGCACCGGCUAACUCCGUGCCAGCAGCCGCGGUAAUACGGAGGGUGCGAGCGUUAAUCGGAAUUACUGGGCGUAAAGCGCAUGCAGGUGGUUUGUUAAGUCAGAUGUGAAAGCCCGGGGCUCAACCUCGGAAUUGCAUUUGAAACUGGCAAACUAGAGUACUGUAGAGGGGGGUAGAAUUUC
rnacentral:rRNA from 1 species